UGACGACCGGCGCACGGGUGCGUAACGCGUAUAGAACCUACCUUUUACAGGGGAAUAGCCUUUAGAAAUGAAGAUUAAUGCCCCAUAGUAUUGUAGACUGGCAUCAGUUUACAAUUAAAGAUUUAUCGGUAAAAGAUGGCUAUGCGUCCUAUUAGUUAGUUGGUAAGGUAACGGCUUACCAAGACAUCGAUAGGUAGGGGUCCUGAGAGGGAGAUCCCCCACACUGGUACUGAGACACGGACCAGACUCC
rnacentral:rRNA from 1 species